AUACGUAGGGUGCAAGCGUUAAUCGGAAUUACUGGGCGUAAAGCGUGCGCAGGCGGUUUUGUAAGACAGAGGUGAAAUCCCCGGGCUUACCCUGGGGACUGGCUUUGUGACCGCAAGGCUAGAGGACUGCAGAGGGGGAUGGAAUUCCGCGUGGAGCAGUGAAAGACGUAGAUAUGCGGAGGAACACCGAUCGCGAAGGCAAUCCCCUGGGCCAGUACUGACGUUCAAGCACGGAAGCGUAGGGAGCAAACAGGAUUAGAUACCCUGGUGGUACAAGCCCUAGGCGAUGUCAACUGGUUGUUGAGUGUUCAUGGACUGAGUAUGGAAGCUUGCGAGUGAAGUUGACCGCGUGGGGAGAACGGCCGCAAGGUUGGAACUCAAAGGAAUUGACGGGU
rnacentral:rRNA from 1 species